AUUGAACGCUGGCGGCAGGCCUAACACAUGCAAGUCGAACGGAGUGGCGGACGGGUGAGUAAUACCUAGGAAUCUGCCUGGUAGUGGGGGAUAACGUUCGGAAACGGACGCUAAUACCGCAUACUAUCAGAUGAGCCUAGGUCGGAUUAGCUAGUUGGUGAGGUAAUGGCUCACCAAGGCUACGAUCCGUAACUGGUCUGAGAGGAUGAUCAGUCACACUGGAACUGAGACACGGUCCAGACUCCUACGGGAGGCAGCAGUGGGGAAUAUUGGACAAUGGGCGCAAGCCUGAUGCAGCCAUGCCGCGUGUAUGAAGAAGGCCUUCGGGUUGUAAAGUACUUUCAGCGGGGAGGCGUUACCGCAGAAGAAGCACCGGCUAACUCCGUGCCAGCAGCCGCGGUAAUAC
rnacentral:rRNA from 1 species